rnacentral:rRNA from 1 species
AUGUCCACCGCGCCGGCAUCCACGGUGACUCCCUCCUCCGCGCUCACGCUCACCACUCCCUCCGCGCUCGUCCCGAUCGCCCCUGUCAUCGCCCCACCCACCGCGACGGCUCCCACACCCGUGCUUCCGCCCAUCACGGUCUCGCUUGACCGCAGCAACUUCAUGCUCUGGAGGGCACUUGCCCUCCCCAACUUCGCCGGAGUGCGCCUCCACGGUUUCCUCGACGGCUCGGCCACCGCGCCGGCGCCGACCGUGACGAUAGGCACCGGCGAUGCCGCCCGCACCGUGUCCAACCCCGACUACGAGCAAUGGUGGACGCUGGAUCAGAAGGUUCUCGGGCAUCUCCUUGGUUCGAUGAGCGUGGAGAUCUCCGCGCAGCUCAUCGGCUGCAGGUCGGCCGCCGCCGCAUGGGCGGCCGUGCACACCAUGUUCGCCGCCGAGAACAGCGCCGGCGUGCGCAACCUCCGGCGCCAGAUUCAGGCGCUGCGCAAGGGAGAUCGUCCCGCCGGCGAGUACAUGCAGAAGGUCAAGGCCCUCGCUGACUCGAUGGCCGUCGCCGGCUCUCCUCUUCGUGAUGAUGAGAUCAUCGACUAUAUGCUGACCGGGCUCGGCUCGGCGUUCAACCCCAUCGCCGCCUCCAUGAACUUCACGGGCGUGCCAAUCACGCUUCCCGCGUUCUACUCCAGCGUUCUCCACUACGAGGCCCUUCAGCAGCAGCAGUCCGAGCACGAGGAUUGGCAGUCCUCCGCCAACGCCGCGUCUCGGCCGGUCUACAACGACACUUCCGGCCGAGCCGUCGAUUCUGGCCGCCAGAGCGGUGGCCGCCCCGCCGCCGGUUCCCUCCCGCCCAGCUCGGGCGGCUACGGCAACAACCAGGGCAACACCUCUGGUCGUAACAACAACGGUGGCAAUAGCCGCAAUGGAGGAGGAAACGGUGGUGGUCGCAACCGCCGUUGGCGUCCCCGGUGCCAGAUAUGCAAUAAUUGGGGUCAUGAGGCCGGCGACUGUCGCAGCCGCUAUGAUCAUGACCACCGCGCCGCCAACUCUGCGUCCACAUCCUCCUCCCAUGAGCCACCUCACUGGAUCCUGGACACCGGCCCUGUUGCUUCUGUGCAGGAUUCUUCGGCUCCGCCCUCUCCGGCGUCCAACGUGCACCGCCCCCACGUGGCUGAUGUCCAGCCCUCCUCGGCGAUCGACGUGCAUGGGCCAUGCACGUCUCCCCGCUCGGCUCCCGCGUCGCCUGGCUCGGCUCCUGUGUUGCCAGGCUCAGUCGCCGCCUCCCCCGGCCUGGCUGGCCCAUCAGCUACAGCCGCGCCCGGCUCGCCCGGCCCGUCCACGGGCCCGACCGCCUCGCCCGGUUCCUCCGAGGCCUCCUUGCCGCGCGGUGACGCGGUGUCCCCCGCCCCGGUGGAGGCGGGCUCUGGCGAGGCGCAGAAGGUGGAGGCGGGCUCCGGCGAGGCGCACGAGGUGGAGAAGGUGGAUAAGGUGGAGGUCAGCUCUGGCGAGGAGCAGGCGGAGCAGAAGAAGGAGGAUCUUAUUGGCAACAAGAGGAAGUGGGACGCAUCUGGGUACUACCCUUAUGACAGUGAUGAGGAUGAGCCGUACGAGUAUGAAUCUGGAGAUGAUGUGGUCGAGGGGAACGCCGAGUCCUUUGAAGAGAAGGAGGAGUUGAAGAUCAGGGCCCAAGGACCUGCUAAGUACUACAACUGGAGGUGUGACAAGUACCGGUGCCCCUACUGCAGCAGGCCCAAGCCCAGGUCUGGGUUGUUGGAGCAUCUGAUGGAGCAUUGUCGGGCUACAUCCAUCAGCAGUCAUGACUACAAGAUCAGGGCUCAGCAUUCUGCCCUCCACAAGACAUGCCGCAUCAGUGUUGCUUCACUGAUCAGGCAUGCUGCAAACACUUCCCAUGCUACGGCCAUGUGGAACAUGCUGUUGCAAUGGUGCAAUAAAUUCCCAGGCUGACUGUCCGCUUCGGACAUUCUGACUGAAGAAGGCGAGGACAUGAAGGAGCGGGUGCCGCCACAAUUUCUCAAUAAGACAUCAGAAAACAUAGUGAUAGAUAAUCUCAUUGAGUACAUAAUUAAAAGUAAAGCCACCGGAGACGAUUUCCUUCGCAAAGUAGUGCUGGUCCUGUUAGGAACAAUUAUUGCUCCCAUGUCGAGCAAGAUUGUGCCAAAGCAGUACUACGCUUUGGUCUACGAUGUGAAACGUAUUUCAAAGAUUAACUGGAAUGCCUUCACCAUGCGUGUUCUCCUUGAUUGCCUUCACAUAGUGAAGAAAGGCAAACACCCGCGUCAAUGGCCGAAAGGCAAUUUGGCUCUCUUGCAGUACUUGUACUGGGAGAAGGUGCAACCGGUCCAAGGCGAAUGCGCCUAUAAUCCCAACUUGUCCAUACAACCUCUUAUGAGGAACUGGACAGAAGGUGCAGCCACUACGAGAGAUAGGUUCGACUUUGAUAAUGGGCGCGGCCGUGGUAACGUAAAGAUCGAAAAUAAUAUCACCCAGGAGUAUAGGGCUCAGGAGCCCGACAUCCCAAAUAAUGCGCCUACCAUGAAGCCAAAAACCAAGCCUGCAACUGGAAACGCAAAGAAGUCGACGACAGCCGCAUUGUCGGAAGAUUUGAUGGAGCUUGUAAUGAAGCGAUGCAUGGACUUCAUACACACCAAGAUGAGGCAAAUCCCUGAUAUAGUUGCUGAGAGGUUGUUGGAGAAGUUGAACAAAGCAGGUGUCAUGUACAAGCCGGCUGCUGCCGUGCCAUCCGCGGAGAAUGAUCCGGACGAAGUGGAUUCGUUCGAGAAUGGUCCAUAUGAAAAGAAGGAAUUCGUGUACAAGGAAGACAUGGACAGUGAUGGACACCCGAUCAUUGACAUGACGCAGCCUGAUAUAGUGCUUCCCGACCAUAAAACCGUACCUGAGAAGACCCCACUGAAGCUGAAUGGACACAAGGAAGCUUCACCUUUUAAGCGUAAUGAUGUAUGUGGGGCUACACCAGAAAACCCUUGGGUGGUUGGUACUUCUACUGUAGCACCUUCAUCGGACAUAGACAUUUGUCCAUCUUCUAUCAGCAAGUUCAUGGCUAAGGCGAAUGGAAAAAAGGGUGCAACAAUUGAUAAGGAUGACGAGGUUAUGUCCGGUAAGCGGAAGCGGACCGUUCCCAAGAAAUUUGAAUCCCCCUUCGCACUUGACAAGUCCGGCAGGCGUACCAGCCGUGGUCAGAGAGCCUCUGCUCUAUUUUUGAACAAUAAUGUGUCGGAGGUUGUGGCAGAUGAGUUGACGCCGGAAAUAAUUGAUGCUGUUGUUUCAUUUGUCGAGUUAGCUGCUAGCACUGAGAAGAACAAGAACAAAAAAAUUUACUACAGUGAAGGCCGUGGCAUAACUCUGACUUCCGAAAGGAUUCUACCGGUUAUUGAUGCUUAUAUGGGAAAUUUGGAGCUGCGUGUUGGUCAUGAUCAUUACCUCUGUCCAGCGUGGAGGUCCAAAUUCCUUGUAGAUCGUGCUAUCGCAAAUGACGGUCCAUUGCCAUCUAGCUGCAACAUGGAUAGUGCUCUGACCAAAGCUGGGGCAGUUAAUAGAGUCACGAAAGAGUAUACUGUGCGUGAUAAGACGUAUAUCGCGUUGAAUAUCGACAAUAGCCACUGGAUGACCGUGGUCAUGCAUAUGAUCAAGAAAGAAUUCCAAGUUCUCGGUUCGCUCUAUCCUCUGGACCUGACUGAGAGGACUGUUAAAGCACUGCGAAUGGCUAUAGCACAAGAUAUGCGUCAGGCAAAUCUUAUUACACCAGGGAAAUAUCUGGACGUAAGUAAGUGGCCUAUCAAGGAGUAUGACAUACCCCAGCAAGAGGAUGGGAACUCUUGUGGCCUUUUUGUCACAAAAUGUCUAGAACAUUGGGACGGGGACAAAAUCACCCGCAAAUUCAGGCACGGCCCAUCUAACCACGUGAGGGGCCCCACAGGCGGGGCUAUCUUCCCGGCAGCGCUACACCAGCCCAUUUUGCCAGGUUCACAUCGAUCUUUCCCCUUUUCUCAUUUCCCUUUCCAAAUCCCUAGCCCUCCCUCUGUAUUUGCGCCUCCAAAUCUCGACGGCGAAAGUAUGACAGCGAGCUGGGCAUCGGGCGGCGGCGGCUGCGGCGAGAAGAGCGGUGGCGACCGCAAGUUAGGUCAAACCCUGGGUCCUGCAAGCAGGUGGGCCGGAUUCAGUGGCACAGGAGGCAGCGGCGGCGGAUCUAGUGGAACAGGGGACGGGGGUUUCGUGGGCGGCGGUGGGCCAGGAGAACCCACGGCUAGGAUUUCUUCAGUGCUACACUUUGGUGGCAAAAAGGAAACUCCUAGUGCCCGUGUCUGCAUAGAUGCAGACAAUUUUGGCAGCGCACUCGGGGGAUGUGUGUUUGAGGAUGAUAUCACUUCUGAGUAUGUUGAAUGGGUUGACGGGGAGUGGGAUAGCAAAGCAAAGUCAGUCAUUAAGUAUCUUGCCAUGAAGAACAAGAAACUGGAGACUAAGAUUACAGAAUAUGAAGCUGAAAUUAAAAGGAAUGAGAAAGAAAAGAGGGCAAUGGUUAAGAUGCACAAGGAGAUAUUGCUCUAUAGGGAUAGGAUUUUAGGAUUUGGAGGUCUUCUGUAUCUUGGCCUGCUUGCCAUUAUGAUUGCUGUCAUAGUUAGCAAGUAG